rnacentral:sRNA from 1 species
CGAUCACCGAGCGCCGCCGGGAGUCGAGCGCCGGCCGCGGAGCUCCUGCGACCCCGCCAGGACCCGAACAGAGCCCGGGGGCGGCGGGCCGGAGCCGGGGACACGGGCACACGCCCGCUCGCACAAGCCACAGCGGACUCUCCCGAGGCGGAACCUCCACGCCGAGCGAGGGUCAGUUUGAAAAGGAGGAUUGAGCUCACUGUGGAGUAUCCAUGGAGAUGUGGAGCCUUGUCACCAAACUCUAACUGCAGAACUGGGAUGUGGAGCUGGAAGUGCCUCCUCUUCUGGGCUGUGCUGGUCACAGCCACACUCUGCACCGCUAGGCCAUCCCCAACCUUGCCUGAACAAGCCCAGCCCUGGGGAGCCCCUGUGGAAGUGGAGUCCUUCCUGGUCCACCCCGGUGACCUGCUGCAGCUUCGCUGUCGGCUGCGGGACGAUGUGCAGAGCAUCAACUGGCUGCGGGACGGGGUGCAGCUGGCGGAAAGCAACCGCACCCGCAUCACAGGGGAGGAGGUGGAGGUGCAGGACUCCAUGCCCGCAGACUCCGGCCUCUAUGCUUGCGUAACCAGCAGCCCCUCGGGCAGUGACACCACCUACUUCUCCGUCAAUGUUUCAGGUUGGUAGCCAAGCCCUGCCCUUGCCCCUCCCUAGACCCACCCCCUCCAACCCUCUCUGCCAGUUUCAGGGGAAGGUGAACCUCCUCCCACUCCGUGAUCUGCCCCCACUCUGCUUCAGAAACUGCUGCCCACUAACAUUGCUCCCUGCCUGCCGCGUGGC